GAUGAACGCUGGCUACAGGCUUAACACAUGCAAGUCGAGGGGAAACGCCGGGGAAGCUUGCUUCCCCGGGCGUCGACCGGCGCACGGGUGAGUAACGCGUAUCCAACCUGCCUCUGACUGAGGGAUAACCCGUCGAAAGUCGGCCUAAUACCUCAUGGCAUCGUCUGCGGGCAUCCAACGACGAUUAAAGAUUUCAUCGGUCAGAGAUGGGGAUGCGUCUGAUUAGCUUGUUGGCGGGGUAACGGCCCACCAAGGCGACGAUCAGUAGGGGUUCUGAGAGGAAGGUCCCCCACAUUGGAACUGAGACACGGUCCAAACUCCUACGGGAGGCAGCAGUGAGGAAUAUUGGUCAAUGGGCGAGAGCCUGAACCAGCCAAGUAGCGUGCAGGAUGACGGCCCUAUGGGUUGUAAACUGCUUUUAUGCGGGGAUAAAGUGAGGGACGUGUCCUUCAUUGCAGGUACCGCAUGAAUAAGGACCGGCUAAGUCCGUG
rnacentral:rRNA from 1 species